rnacentral:rRNA from 1 species
GACGGAGGAUGCAAGCGUUAUCCGGAAUGAUUGGGCGUAAAGCGUCCGCAGGUGGCUGUGUAAGUCUGCUGUUAAAUAGUGAGGCUCAACCUCAUAAAGGCAGUGGAAACUACACGGCUAGAGUGCGUUCGGGGCAGAGGGAAUUCCUGGUGUAGCGGUGAAAUGCGUAGAGAUCAGGAAGAACACCGGUGGCGAAAGCGCUCUGCUAGGCCGCAACUGACACUGAGGGACGAAAGCUAGGGGAGCGAAUGGG